GAAUUGACGGGGCCCGCACAAGCGGUGGAGUAUGUGGUUUAAUUCGAUGAUACGCGAGAAACCUUACCUGGUCUUGACAUGUAGAGAAGUUCUAGAGAUAGAAUGUGCCUGCUUGCAGGAGCUCUAACACAGGUGGUGCAUGGUUGUCGUCAGCUCGUGCCGUGAGGUGUUGGGUUAAGUCCCGCAACGAGCGCAACCCUUAUCGAUAGUUGCUAAUAUUAAGUUAAGGACUCUAUUGAGACUGCCAGCGACAAGCUGGAGGAAGGUGGGGAUGACGUCAAAUCAUCAUGCCCUUUAUGACCUGGGCUACAAACGUACUACAAUGGCCAAAUACAAAGAGAUGCGAAGCCGCGAGGUGGAGCGAACCUCAUAAAAAUGGUCUCAGUUCGGAUUGGAGUCUGCAACUCGACUCCAUGAAGUCGGAAUCGCUAGUAAUCGCGAGUCAGCAGAUCGCGGUGAAUACGUUCCCGGGUUUU
rnacentral:rRNA from 1 species